GAGUGAACGCUGGCGGUAGGCCUAACACAUGCAAGUCGAACGGCAGCACAGUAAGAGCUUGCUCUUACGGGUGGCGAGUGGCGGACGGGUGAGGAAUACAUCGGAAUCUACUUUUUCGUGGGGGAUGACGUAGGGAAACUUACGCUAAUACCGCAUACGACCUACGGGUGAAAGCAGGGGAUCUUCGGACCUUGCGCGAUUGAAUGAGCCGAUGUCGGAUUAGCUAGUUGGCGGGGUAAAGGCCCACCAAGGCGACGAUCCGUAGCUGGUCUGAGAGGAUGAUCAGCCACACUGGAACUGAGACACGGUCCAGACUCCUACGGGAGGCAGCAGUGGGGAAUAUUGGACAAUGGGCGCAAGCCUGAUCCAGCCAUACCGCGUGGGUGAAGAAGGCCUUCGGGUUGUAAAGCCCUUUUGUUGGGAAAGAAAAGCAGCAGGUUAAUACCCCGCUGUUCUGACGGUACCCAAAGAAUAAGCACCGGCUAACUUCGUG
rnacentral:rRNA from 1 species